rnacentral:rRNA from 2 species
GACGGAGGGUGCAAGCGUUGCUCGGAAUCAUUGGGCGUAAAGGGUGCGUAGGCGGCUUUUUAAGUCUGACGUGAAAGCCCAGGGCUUAGCCUUGGAAGUGCGCCAGAAACUGGAAGGCUAGAGUGCCGGAGGGGAGAGUGGAAUUCCUGGUGUAGCGGUGAAAUGCGUAGAUAUCAGGAGGAAUACCGGUGGCGAAAGCGACUCUCUGGACGGUAACUGACGCUGAGGCACGAAAGCGUGGGGAGCAAACAGG